rnacentral:rRNA from 1 species
AACGAACGCUGGCGGCAUGCCUAACACAUGCCAGUCGAACGAACCCUUCGGGGUGAGUGGCGCACGGGUGCGUAACGCGUGGGAACCUGCCUUUUGGUUCGGAAUAACAGUUAGAAAUGACUGCUAAUACCGGAUAAUGUCUUCGGACCAAAGAUUUAUCGCCAUUAGAUGGGCCCGCGUAGGAUUAGCUAGUUGGUGAG